CAAGGACCAAGGGUGUGGGGGGGCCAGAGGAAAUGUUUCAAGAACACCCUUAAGGUGAACAUUAAGAAAUGUGGCAUUGAUACCACAAAU